GAUGAACGCUGACAGAAUGCUUAACACAUGCAAGUCAUUGGCGAAGCUGCGCUUGCGCAGUCUAGCCAAGGCGGACGGAUGAGUAACGCGUCAGGAACUUGCCCUGCAGUCAGGGAUAACAGACGGAAACGACUGAUAACACCUGGCAUUGUCAGGCUGGAUCAUACCGGCCUGUUGAAAGGAGACGCUACUUGAGAGACUUGCGUCCUAUUAUCCAUUGGGUGGGGUAAUGGCCCACCAAGGGGAUGAUAGGGAGCCGGUCUGAGAGGGUGAACGGCCACAAGGGGACUGAGAUACGGCCCUUACUCCUACGGGAGGCAGCAGUGGGGAAUAUUGGACAAUGGGGGCAACCCUGAUCCAGCAAUUCUGUGUGAACGAAGAAGGUUUUCGGAUGGUAAAGUGCUUUCAGCAGGGAAGAAGAAAGUGACGGUACCUGCAGAAGAAGCGACGGCUAAAUACGUG
rnacentral:rRNA from 1 species